rnacentral:lncRNA from 1 species
CGGUUUCCCUGCGUGAAAGCCAGGUGGAAGAGGGAGCAGAGAUGGCAGCCAGCGUGCAGCGUCACCUCCAGCUCAGAAAUCUGUGUUAAAUAUCCCACACGGAGACGUGAGGUCAGCAGUGUAAGUCUGCUCAGCAUCGCCUGCCGCUGUGCUGUGUGCUUCAGGAACACCCAAGGGAUGGGGGAAGAACCGAGUCCUACUGACUUACAUAGACCAAAGGCAGCUCGCUGCUCCGUUCUCACUAAGCUGGGAUACAUCAGCUCAAGUUUGGAAACGUUCAAGCUGAAAUCAGCCUGAUGUGUUUUGAAAACGCGGACUGAUGGUUUUAAGAGCAG